AGGGAGGCAUCUGCAUGAGCCUUCUUGUACUGGAGUCUCUGAUGAGGGUAGAGGGAAGAUGAGAGAUUCGCAUCCACUUCAGGGUCCCCACUGAAGGGAGCAAUCUGAGUUGAAUAUGGUGUUUAACCUAAAUGUAGUAUUUAAUGAAUUCUAGAAGCCUGGCUGUGGGUGGUGAUUUGGUCAGCAUAUCUUAGGUAUAUAAUAACUUUGAAGCCAUAACUUUUAACUGGAGUGGUUUAUUUUAAUUCAUUUUAUUUUAUUUUAUUUUAUUGGGAGGGUCAGGAUUUUAACUUUAAUACUGUUAAGUUUUUGUAAAAGGAAAACCAUCUCUAUGUGACAAUUACCUCUUAGUCUGUUUGUUUUUAAAGAAAUCCCUAAAACAAACAAAACACCACAAAAAAAAAAAUUCUCUAGAAUCAAACGCACAUAGUUCAGUCACUGGAAAUGUUUGUCUUUGCACCUGAGCCUGUUUCCACUCAGCAGUGAGUUCCUCCUCCCCCUGGGGACUUGGUGGCUUGUAUUCCAUGCACAUCCCCAUCCCUGAGCACCCUCAGCCUCUCGUGCAUUGUCCACCUGGUUGCUCCCUUUCCAGACAUUUGCUCAGCAUAUUUGGGUUGAGUGCUGCUGAGUGCUGGAGCUGGGAGGACCUCUGCGAGCGAGACAGGUUUGGGUGCUGCACCUGGAGCAUGGAAGGAGAAACGGAAUCAUGAGUGGAUGAGCACCCACUUUGAGACCAGAAGGGCCCAUGGCUGGUACUGAGAGCCUUUAUGAGCUUAGGAUUACUGUUCUUAAGACCACUGAGGAGAGAGGAGCCUGUAUCCCCUCGGGCAGAGAGACCCGUUGGUGAGCAAUGAGGCCUGGAGUUGAGAAACCCAGCUGCACCUUCAUGAUUACAGAUGACGAUGGAACUGUAGAAUCCUCUGCUGUCCUUCAGCAUACACCCACACAGUGACUCCUGUGCCACCACCCUACUCCUGGGGGCCCUUCUGCCCCCAUUGUGGAGUCCAGCUCAUCCGCCUCUCAGGAAGACUUGAGCAGGUUUUGGGGAAACUCCACCCCUGUCCCACUACUCUUUACAUUAAGCUGAGAGUUGGGAGAAACCGAAGCUGUGUUUUGGUUCCCUGAGGCUACCCUGAUCCACAGGGCUACCUGCACCUCUGGAUUCUGGAUUCUGGAUUCACAGACCAAGUCCAAGCCCGUUCUUAGGUUGCCGCUGUCAAGGCCCUUGAACGGCAUUCUCGGUACUUCUGUUUGUUUUUUGUACAAUUUAUUAGAAAGGAUUGUAAAAUAGCCACUUAGACACUUUACCUCUUCAGUAUGCAAAUGUAAAUAUAUUGUAAUAUAGGAAAUUUUUUGUUUUAAUAUAAGAACGAGCCUGUCCAAUUUCUGCUGUACAUCAUUAAAGUUUUAUUCACAGAACUGCUCUGCCGCCUUCUGCCUUCCACAUGUAAUGACUGGCUGGGUCCCCUAUGUGUGGCACUGACCUGCAGUUAUGUCUUCUGGGACUUGCUGUGUUACCAAAGUGGCCUGAGGUAUCAGAGACUGCUUUGUGUUAUAUUUUAGUGUCUUGGCUAUUUACAAAAAAGGAUGUUGAUCCUGGUUGCUCACAGGCCAUUGAUUCUCCAAGGCAAAAUAAGAGCUUGUCUAGUUUCAUUUCCAUCACCUAGACUAAAGGUAACUAAGUUCUGGGGUACUUAGGAGACUCAGGUGAGACUUCAGUGUUUUGCUGGAAUUUUCAGAGCAUGGCUGAUAAUUCAUCGCUCUAGUUGGUGGUUGGACCUGGAAAAGGCAAAGGUUAAAAAUGAGGCCCACUUUAUUCAGAGCAUCAGACAGUUUAUACUCUGAGGGUUAAGAAAGGUCACCUGAGUAAAGUUCUCCUGAG
ensembl:lncRNA